rnacentral:rRNA from 1 species
UACGUAGGGGGCUAGCGUUGUCCGGAAUCAUUGGGCGUAAAGCGCGCGUAGGCGGUCCGGUAAGUCCGCUGUGAAAGCCGGGGGCUCAACCCUCGGAUGCCGGUGGAUACUGUCGGGCUUGAGUACGGAAGAGGCGAGUGGAAUUCCUGGUGUAGCGGUGAAAUGCGCAGAUAUCAGGAGGAACACCAAUUGCGAAGGCAGCUCGCUGGGACGUUACUGACGCUGAGACGCGAAAGCGUGGGGAGCAAACAGG